rnacentral:pre_miRNA from 1 species
CUUAUACUCCCUCCGUCCCAAAAUUCUUGUCUUAGAUUUGUGUAGAUAUGAAUGUAUCUAGUCACAUUUUAGUAUUUAGAUACAUCCAUUUCUAGACAAACCUAAGACAAGAAUUUUGGGGGGAGUAUUUU